rnacentral:rRNA from 1 species
GACGAACGCUGGCGGCGUGCCUAAUACAUGCAAGUCGAGCGGACAGAUGGGAGCUUGCUCCCUGAUGUUAGCGGUGGACGGGUGAGUAACACGUGGGUAACCUGCCUGUAAGACUGGGAUAACUCCGGGAAACCGGGGCUAAUACCGGAUGGUUGUUUGAACCGCCUGGUUCAAACAUAAAAGGUGGCUUCGGCUACCACUUACAGAUAGACACGGGGCGCAGUAGCUAGUUGGUGAGGUAACGGCUCAACAAGUCAACGAUGCGUAGACGACCUGGGAGGGUGAUCGGCCACACUGGGAAUGAGACACGGCCCAGACUCCUACGGGAGGCAGCAGUAGGGAAUCUUCCGCAAUGGACGAAAGUCUGACGGAGCAACGCCGCGUGAGUGAUGAAGGUUUUCGGAUCGUAAAGCUCUGUUGUUAGGGAAGAACAAGUACCGUUCGAAUAGGGCGGUACCUUGACGGUACCUAACCAGAAAGCCACGGCUAACUACGUGCCAGCAGCCGCGGUAA